rnacentral:rRNA from 1 species
UACGUAGGGUGCAAACGUUGUCCGGAAUUAUUGGGCGUAAAGAGCUCGUAGGUGGUUUGUCGCGUUGUUCGUGAAAACUCACAGCUCAACUGUGGGCGUGCGGGCGAUACGGGCAGACUUGAGUACUGCAGGGGAGACUGGAAUUCCUGGUGUAGCGGUGGAAUGCGCAGAUAUCAGGAGGAACACCGGUGGCGAAGGCGGGUCUCUGGGCAGUAACUGACGCUGAGGAGCGAAAGCGUGGGGAGCGAACAGG